rnacentral:lncRNA from 10 species
AGGAGACUGAGCAUGGAAGCCCCAGCCCAGCCCUGCCCAGUUAGGAAGCAACUAUUGUAUUCAGCAAACCCUGCUGGCUCUAACGAGAAGUAUCAUCCCGAGUGCAUCACCAUCACUUCUCACCUCCAUGGCCUCUCAUUAUGCACUCUCUGCCUCUACUCUUGCCUUCCUGGAGCCGUUCUCCAGCCGUUAGCCAAAUGGGUCUUUUCAAAGGUUCCCUGUGCUCCAGCCCCUCAUCACCUGGGAUGGGGUUGUCUGCACCGCUGUCCUUGUGCCUGAUGUCCCCACACGCUCGCUCCUCCUCCACCUUCCGGUAGUCCCAGCUUGAAAGUUCUGACCUCAUCCCCUUCCCCAACACACCCCUACUCCCUGUCACAUCACUCGAAUCUGCUGCCUACAAUUGGUGGGAGUGAAACCACUUAGUUUGCCAACUUUGAAGGAAUCCUGUGAAAUGCUCAGGUAACUGGCACCAAUUUCCCAUUUGUUCCCUUGACAUUUCAGUGCUGCUUAUGGAUUAGUGCUUUGGGCAGCUGCACAGAUAACCCACCUUUUGAUCUGGGUCCGCUUGGCACAAGAUACAAUAAAUGUCAUGAUAAAUGUCAGCCAGGAUUACAAUGCUUCCUUCACA